GAAGGAAGGAAGGAAGGAAGGAAGGAUUAUUCAUCUGUUUGCAAAGAGAAUUCCAGGAGUAGAGCAGUGUCUGCUCUGGAGGAGGCAGCCCAGCAACCAUGGAUAUUUACAGUGUGAGGUUGAGCAAGAUGUGCCAUUGAGUUGUAGAUCAGCUGCUUUUAAAUCUUGGUGCACAGCAAGAACACUGUAUUACCAGCAUGUUGCCAACAUUACCCUGGAGGCUGUAUCGAAGCGAUGCUCCAUUGACUCCACCUAAGAACCAUCAUCUAGUAUGUGCUAGACUGCACAUACUUGCCAGAGUUCAAAUGAAAAUGAUCAAGAAAUGCCAGAAACCUGCCUUCCCUGACAGCUGUGGAUGAGCUGAGUGUCAGUGGGUAGGAGCCCCAUGAGGUGGCAAGGAAGGUCCUGGUGCCAGAUCUGAAGACCUCUUCAAUUCUAAAACGGAGAGUUUACCUAGAUGGACAGAGGGCUAGUAAGCAUGAGGAAGAGAAGGAGGGAGAGGCACUGUGGGUGUGUAUCUGUGACUACAAGCUUAACAAGCUCUUGUACACUGCCCUCAAGUGAGAUGUCAUUCAGCCAGAUACAGCUCCUUUUACCCCAGCACCUCAUUAGCAACAUGAGAACAGUUAACACUACAUUUUCUGAGUCCACACCUUUGCUCAUGCACACACUUAUUCAGCUAAAAACUCAGAAUUCCUGCUAUGAAAAGAAGACAAUGCUGCAAUUUACGUAACAAGCCAAAAGCUGUUAAAGGUGUAGCAACAGUUCAGUCAAUGAAACAAAAACAAUUGCAAAUUAAAUAGUGUAGCCACAGCAUAACCAAGAUUAGUGAAGACUGCAUAUGAGCUGGAAGGCAAUUUAGCAUCUUAGGUAUAACUCCCCACAAUUUAAAAGCGAUACAUGUAAACAAUUAAUCCCAGAUAUUCUUCAAGAACCUUUCUGUUCCAAAAAAGAAUAUUAAAUAUAUCAAAUAAAUAAUUAAAACACAUAACUUUCUAGCUGGCUUGAAUUUACAUUCUUUCCCACACUCUACAGUAACCAAGCAGAGCUCUGAGCAGCACACAGGUUUUAAGAGGACCUCAGUCUUUAGAAGCUCCCUCUCAGUCAUGCUGCCUCUUUGAAAAGUCUUUUGCCUCCAAAAAGGCAGCAGUGGGGCAGCAAUGAAGAAUUAUGCAAGAUGAGUUGAUAGACAGCAAACUGUGAUACAACAUAGCACGAGUAUCAGUGAACUACAGAUGUAAAUGCAUUUUGAAUUUUUCAUGACAGUAGCAAGAAAAUAUCUCUAUUACAAGAAAACAUGAAGUUUUAUACAGCAGCGAGGCAAAGAAUAAGCACAUUUCUCUGGGAAACAUAUAAGUAGUGUUAUGUAUGAACCUGUAAGUAUGAAUGCAGAACUUCCUCUUGCUUUCCAGUCCCCAUUCCUCCACCCCACAAAAUCUGAUAUUUAAGUAGCAAAACAUUAAAGACUUUAGAAGUACUCCAACAGUUUUGCAAAGAUUUCACUGAGAACACAAGCUU